rnacentral:rRNA from 1 species
UCAGUAACACGUAGUCAACAUGCCCAAAGGACGUGGAUAACCUCGGGACAACUGAGGAUAAACCGCGAUAGGCCAAGGUUUCUGGAAUGAGCCAUGGCCGAAAUCUAUAUGGCCUUUGGAUUGGACUGCGGCCGAUCAGGCUGUUGGUGAGGUACUGGCCCACCAAACCUGUAACCGGUAACGGGCUUUGAGAGAAGGAGCCCGGAGAUGGGCACUGAGACAAGGGCCCAGGCCCUAUGGGGCGCAGCAGGCGCGAACCCUCUGCAAUAGGCGAAAGCCUGAACCAGGGUUACUCUGAGUGAUGCCCGCCAAGGGGUAUCUUUUGGGCACCUCUAAACAUUGGUGCAGAAUAAGGGGUGGG